GGGGGCGACUAGGUUUCGACGUAGGUCGCGAAGCUUCAGGUGCAUGCCGAGGAUGUCGCUCACCUCGUAAAACACGCGGCAAAAAUGAUAGUUGCCAACGACGACAACUACGCCCUCGCGGCCUAAAGAACCGCGAGCCGCUGAUUGGCGAUUGCCUGUGGUUUCUUCUCAGCGGGCAUAUCACACAGGAUAGCUUCGGGGACGGCCCGGAUCCCUGGAGCGAAACCCAAACGGGCUCGCUGACUGCAUUCCCUGCGCGUCGGGAAGCGGCCGGUUAAAAAAGAAAGACGUGUCUAAGCAUGUAGACCCUGGAGUGGAGGUCUUGCGGACGCGGGUUCGAUUCCCGCCGCCUCCACCA
rnacentral:tmRNA from 1 species